GAAGGAAUGCUGUAGAGGUUUGCCUAAAAAUAAAAAAAAUUGCUGGAGAAAUUCUUUUUGGUCGAAUCUAAUAUAUGCAGGUCGAGUCAAACUUAUUUCGGAUGAUCCCUGAACUCGAAUGACAUGCACCCCGGUCCAGCCCCACUCUCCUAUUUCUUUCGCAUCCAAUCGAGUUCAAACUUUCGUUACAUUGUACUAUCUGAUCAUUAUCACAUUCGCGAUUAGCUAUUCAAAGUCUUCCUAAAAUUCCAUGUGCAAGCCAUCCACGUAUCAAGUCUUACACAUCAUCUCCCUAUUCUUCCACCACAUCUCAGCCACGUCAUAAUGUCUUCUAAGCAUUCCCAAUCUCCCCUGUUCCAUGUCCAAAGAACAGGGUCAUCCCAAGACUUCUCAGCUGACCUCAUGUCUCAUGAAAUCAUCUCCAACUAAAAUCCUUUUUCCUCCACGUCACCUUCUCCCAGGUUUCUUCCACAUCGUUCCAUCCUUAUCCUAUCUCCCAACCAACUCCAAGCUUCAUCCCGUUGUGAUCUUCUCUUCUCCCGUUCGGAUCAAGCAACCAAUAUUCCCCUGUUUCACAUCCCGUUUGUAAUAACACUCAUCCCGACUAUCUUCCACGUCUCCUCCCAGAUUUUAUCUUUCCAUCGUAUCUCCAUCCCAUGCUCAUCCCAGUGUUUCGGAUCACAUUCUCCACAGCCGGAACAGAGUCGAGACCCAAGGAACAUUUCCUUAUCCGAACCCCAUGAAACAACCAAAGCCACGUCUUCAUCUGGAUUAUUUCCCAGCCGAGAUCCUCUCAGUUCACGCUCGUCCUGGCCAAUCGCAUAUCAUCUCCCAUCCUCCCCUAUCCCGAGUUAUUCUCUGCUUCCGAACGAGAGUAAUCUGCCAUCUCCCACGUCCCACCAUCUUCCAUGAUUCAAACUUCCAUUCUUCUGGAAUCCCAUCUCCUUCCGUUCGUGAACAUUAUCCCAACUGCAUCAUCCCACAUCUUCAGCCGUGGGCAUCAAUCAUGCAUCCCCGUCCUCGCUAUCCCCUGUUCCCAGUUUAUCCCCAGCCGAAUCAUUCCAGCGUCCAAACCAACCGAGAUCCUCCUUAUCCCACGGAUAAGCCCAAGCCACCUUCAUCUCUUCCGCGAUUAACUCCCAAACUCCCAGAUCUUCCAGCUCUCAUUCUCUUCCGGAUAACCUUCUUCCCCCACGAAUCAAUCUCUUCCAGAACCAUCCUUCCAGCAGCACAAAUGCCGAAUCUUCCGAUCCCAUGGCCAGCCGUUCCAAAGCUUCUAAGCGUCCGUAGCAUUAUGGAUUGAUUCCAUCAUCCACACUCCCUCCUAUUCGGAUUAAUUGACCACAGAAGAAUCCCCUGUUUCAACUUAUACGUCUCCGUAUUCAUCCUCAUCCCAUGAACAACCCAACUCGUUCCCAACCGAUUGGUUCCUCUCAGCCGAAAUCCCAACUUCAUGGCUUCCGAUUCUUCUUCCCAGACUUCACGGAAACAGAACACAUUAGCUCACGGGUCAUCUUUUCUUCUUCGGAAUCUUUCCCAGGUUCCCCCUGGUGCCCGUCUUCAUCUUCCAGCCGACCGAAUCCAAUUCCAACAUUCCUCCCAACAUUCUAGAUUGAUUCCAUGGAUCAUCUCCCCUGUUCCGGAUCAACCUCAUCCAUUCCGCGACCAGCUCCCCAGCAUCCCAGCCGUCUGCCGCGUUAAAGCUUCUCCCCACUCCAAGGAUCAGCAGCUCAACGUCCUCCGGAUCACCAUCUAAGCUCUCAUCUGAGAUCCAGCUCCAACUUCUCCCGCGUCCGGAUCUCCCGCAGCCAACAAAUUUCAGCUCCAUCCAGCCGCUUCCAUCCUUAUCCCACAUUCAAGCUUAUCCUCUGAACUCGAAACAGGGGAGAGGAGAAGGCUGGUGGAGGCUAUAAAAGGGGAGGAGACGGACCCCAUGAACCUAUCUCUCUCAGGUCAAAUCCCACGGGAAGAAGAAGAAAUAAAAGGAGGGAGAAUAGUUUGGGCAUUUCGGGAAACACUUUCCAUAUAAAAAAAAUGAAGUGCUGAGGCAGAGGAAGCCGAUCGUGAUGGAAGCCCGUUGCCGUGCCGCUGCUGCCGUCCACCACUGCAUGGAAGCCUAAUCUCUUCACUGGGGCUGGAUGCAGCGCUAACAAAGGGAUACGGAUUUUAUAUUUUAUUUUAUAUUCUUGGGGUUGUAUGAACUUAUUGUUUUUAAUGAAUAUCUUCUUUUAUCUCA